AACCCAUAAUGAGGGCACCUUUUCAAAAGAUCCUUAAAUCUUUCUCAUGCAUCAUAUAAUGUCUCCAAAUCAAUUGAACAAAAGAAGACGUAUCAUUCCUCAACCU
rfam:Gossypium hirsutum cultivar TM-1 unplaced genomic scaffold scaffold1717.1, whole genome shotgun sequence